CCUACGGGCGGCAGCAGUAGGGAAUAUUGCGCAAUGGGGGAAACCCUGAAGCAGCAACGCCGCGUGGAGGAUGAAGGUUUUCGGAUUGUAAACUUCUUUUGUUAGAGAAGAUAAUGACGAUAUCUAACGAAUAAGCACCGGCUAACUCCGUGCUAGCAGCCGCGGUAAUCAGAAGGGUGCAAGCGUUACUCGGAAUAACUGGGCGUAAAGAGCGCGUAGGCGGGAUAGCAAGUCAGAUGUGAAAUCGUAUGGCUUAACCAUAGAACUGCAUUUGAAACUGUUAUUCUAGAGUAUGGGAGAGGCAGGUGGAAUUCUUGGUGUAGAGGUAAAAUGCGUAGAGAUACAGAGGAAUACUCAUUGCGAAGGCGACCUGCUAGACCAUAACUGACGCUGAUGCGCGAAAGCGUGGGGAGCAAACAGGAUUAGAUACCCUAGUAGUC
rnacentral:rRNA from 1 species